rnacentral:rRNA from 1 species
AGCUCCAAUAGCGUAUAUUAAAGUUGUUGCAGUUAAAAAGCUCGUAGUUGGAUCUCGGGAGCAGGCCGGCGGUCCGCCUCGCGGCGGGUUCUUGCCGUUCUGCCCCACCCGCCGGGUUUUCCCCGGGGGUCUUUAUUUAGGGCCCCGGGUGGCCGGAACGUUUACUUUGAAAAAAUUAGAGUGUUCAAAGCAGGCAGUUCGCCUGAAUAAUGGUGCAUGGAAUAAUGGAAUAGGACCUCGGUUCUAUUUUGUUGGUUUUCGGAACUUGAGGUAAUGAUUAAGAGGGACAGACGGGGGCAUUCGUAUUACACUGUUAGAGGUGAAAUUCUUGGAUCGGUGUAAGACGAACUACUGCGAAAGCAUUUGCCAAGAAUGUUUUCA